rnacentral:rRNA from 1 species
CUACGGGAGGCAGCAGUGGGGAAUAUUGGACAAUGGGGGGAACCCUGAUCCAGCAAUGCCGCGUGUGUGAAGAAGGUCUUCGGAUUGUAAAGCACUUUCACUAGGGAAGAUGAUGACGGUACCUAGAGAAGAAGCCCCGGCUAACUUCGUGCCAGCAGCCGCGGUAAUACGAAGGGGGCUAGCGUUGCUCGGAAUGACUGGGCGUAAAGGGCGCGUAGGCUGUUUGUACAGUCAGAUGUGAAAUCCCCGGGCUUAACCUGGGAACUGCAUUUGAUACGUGCAGACUAGAGUCCGAGAGAGGGUUGUGGAAUUCCCAGUGUAGAGGUGAAAUUCGUAGAUAUUGGGAAGAACACCGGUUGCGAAGGCGGCAACCUGGCUCGGAACUGACGCUGAGGCGCGAAAGCGUGGGGAGCGAACAGGAUUAGAUACCCUGGUAGUCCACGCUGUAAACGAUGUGUGCUGGAUGUUGGGUGAUUUUAUCAUUCAGUGUCGGAGCUAACGCGUUAANCACACCCCCUGGGGAGUACNGCCGCAAGGUUGAAACUCAAAGGAAUUGACGGGGCCCCCCACAANCGGUG